UACGGAGGGAGCUAGCGUUGUUCGGAAUUACUGGGCGUAAAGCGCGCGUAGGCGGCUUUGUAAGUUAGAGGUGAAAGCCCGGGGCUCAACCCCGGAAUUGCCUUUAAGACUGCAUCGCUUGAAUCCAGGAGAGGUGAGUGGAAUUCCGAGUGUAGAGGUGAAAUUCGUAGAUAUUCGGAAGAACCCCAGUGGCGAAGGCGACUCACUGGACAUGUAUUGACGCUGAGGUGCGAAAGCGUGGGGAGCAAACAGG
rnacentral:rRNA from 1 species